rnacentral:rRNA from 1 species
UACGGGGGGGGUAAGCGUUGUUCGGAAUUACUGGGCGUAAAGGGCUCGUAGGCGGCCAACUAAGUCAUACGUGAAAUCCCUCAGCUUAACUGGGGAACUGCGUGUGAUACUGGAUGGCUUGGAUUUGGGAGAGGGAUGCGGAAUUCCAGGUGUAGCGGUGAAAUGCGUAGAUAUCUGGAGGAACACCGGUGGCGAAGGCGGUUCUCUGGGCCUGACCUGACGCUGAGGAGCGAAAGCGUGGGGAGCGAACAGG